rnacentral:ncRNA from 1 species
GACCGAAACUGAUAACUGGAUGGAUUGAUCGGUGUUCAGUCCCUUUCUGUCUUUUAAGUGUUCGGAAAAUCAAACUGGAACCCAUCUAUUCGAGGCAGGCUUUCAUGCUUU